UGGAAGCUGAGGUAGCUUAUGGGAGCCUGU
rnacentral:piRNA from 1 species